rnacentral:rRNA from 1 species
UUGUUCGCCAAACAACUACGAGUAGUAACUUAAAACUUAAAAGACUUGACGGUGCUUCAUCACAACCUAGAGGAGCCUGUCUAGUAACCGAUGACCCACGAUUAACCCCACCCCUUCUAGCCAACAGUCUAUAUACCGCCGUCUCAAGCUUACCCCGUGAGGGUAACAGAGUGAGCUAAAUAGUGUACCCCUAAAACGACAGGUCGAGGUGUAACUCAUGAAGGGGGCAAAGAUGGGCUACACUCUCUCACCAGAGAACACGCAUUACAUCAUGAAUCAGGUGUAUGAAGGUGGAUUUAGCAGUAAGAUAAGAAUAAAAAACCUAACUGAACAUAACGCAAUGAAGCGCGUACACACCGCCCGUCAUCCCUGCCCCAC